rnacentral:rRNA from 1 species
AGCGAACAUUGGCGGUAGGCUUAACACAUGCAAGUCGAGCGAGGCGUAAUAGUCGAGCGGCGAACGGGUGAGUAAUACAUGGGAAUCUACCUUGGAGUGGGGGAUAACAGCCAGAAAUGGCUGCUAAUACCGCAUAAUCCCGAGAGGGGAAAGCGCGCUGCGCUCCAAGAUGAGCCCAUGGCUGAUUAGCUAGUUGGUGGGGUAAAGGCCUACCAAGGCGACGAUCAGUAGCUGGUCUGAGAGGAUGAUCAGCCACACUGGAACUGAGACACGGUCCAGACUCCUACGGGAGGCAGCAGUGGGGAAUCUUGCGCAAUGGGGGCAACCCUGACGCAGCCAUACCGCGUGUGCGAUGAAGGUCUUCGGAUUGUAAAGCGCUUUCAGUAGGGACGACGAUGACGGUACCUACAGAAGAAGUCACGGCUAACUUCGUGCCAGCAGCCGCAGUAA